GAACUUCCAUGAAAAGCUGGGAAAAAGAACUUGAUCCUACAGUUCAACAGAUUCAGCCAAUACUUGCCAUGCCUUGAGAUGGCAUUUCCACUGGAAUGCUGAAGGCACCUCAAGGUGCUCCUGGUGAAGUGUUUGUGAGUCAGCCAGGGGAACCCAGCACAUUUCCCAGGGGAAAAGGCUCAGGAGAAAGACAGGCCAACCACUAAUGAGGCAUUCCCAGGAAACACAGAAGGGAGGGAGAUCAAAGUGGAGCAGCUGGAAACCAAGGCCCAGAUUUUUAACACAGUUCGGAAACAGAUGAGCGUUUAACCUCCUGAGACCAAACAUAUGUUACUAUGAAGUAGCAAACUUACGUGUUUGUUGCCCAUUUCAUGGCUGGAAGCUGAAGAUGUUUUGGCAUCAACUAGUUAAAGUUUGAUAAAGCUUCCUGAGCUCAGUAUGUCCCGCUGUUGUUCAGGAGAGAUACCGGCUCAGCUGGCUGCUUUUCCAGGCAGCACUGCUCUCCCCAGGCCUCCCCCUGCAGACACCAACUUCUGUGUGAUAAGGAGAAGUUUUUAGCUCUGAACACUCAUCAAAAACACCACUCCUCCGUGUGGUGUUGCCUGCAAAGCAGUGGGAAGAUCAAACAGCCCCUCAGGCAGCUGCUCAUAUUGGUCAGUGCCUCUGAGAAGGAUGAGCCCAUCAGUGGAGCCGAGCGCUGCUGUACAUCACCGGCACGGGGAGGGGGAAUGACCUUGAGCUCUUGGCCAAAGUGACAAGUUAACGUUGGCCGUUUUGUUACUGAGGAGCAG